rnacentral:rRNA from 1 species
GACGAGCGCUGGCGGCGUGCCUAAUACAUGCAAGUCGAGCGAAUCAAUGGGAGCUUGCUCCCUGAGAUUAGCGGCGGACGGGUGAGUAACACGUGGGUAACCUGCCUGUAAGACUGGGAUAACUUCGGGAAACCGGAGCUAAUACCGGAUACGUUCUUUUUUCGCAUGAGGAGAGAUGGAAAGAUGGUUCUGCUAUCACUUACAGAUGGACCCGCGGCGCAUUAGCUAGUUGGUGAGGUAACGGCUCACCAAGGCGACGAUGCGUAGCCGACCUGAGAGGGUAAUCGGCCACACUGGGACUGAGACACGGCCCAGACUCCUACGGGAGGCAGCAGUAGGGAAUCUUCCGCAAUGGACGAAAGUCUGACGGAGCAACGCCGCGUGAGCGAAGAAGGCCUUCGGGUCGUAAAGCUCUGUUGUUAGGGAAGAACAAGUACGAGAGUAACUGCUCGUACCUUGACGGUACCUAACCAGAAAGCCACGGCUAACUACGUGCCAGCCGCCGCGGUAA